GUGAAAUGUGAAUGUUGGCCUU
rnacentral:piRNA from 1 species